CUUGGUGCGACUCCUAAACAACCUCUUCAGCACAACCUGGUUGAAUGUGGAGUUGGUUCGUCUGGCCAGAAACCUGUACAGCUUGACCAACAGCCUCAGCCGUGUAAGAUGUGCCUGCUUCCCCCUCGCCUUCUGGCAUGACUGUAAGUUUGCUGAAGCCUCCCAGCCAUGCAUCCUGUAAAGCCUGUGGAACUGUGAAAGUCAGAAUAUGGAGGAAACAAGAAGUGUCAACUACCUGAAGAAAACUUAACAGGAUAUAACAGCUGCUCACUGCUAAUCUUCCUAUUAUGGCCAAAUAGAAGCUGAGGAUAUCAUUCUACUUUGUGUGCCUCAGGGUUUGAAAGAAGAAAAUGAUUCCAAGGGUAAAGACAGUACAACACGAAACUUGGAGCUCAAAUCAAAUCCUGAUAUAACUUGAUCAGAACCUUCUCUACAACUAUUGUUCAUUCUGCUUGUGCAAAAAUUUUAAUUCCCUGGUAAAUGGAAGAAUGGGGAGGGAGAAGAAUCAUUACAAGGAAUCAAUAUCCCAGAAUCUUAAGACAAAAACUUCAUCUGGAACCUAGAAUAAAAUUAAAGAUCCCUGAGGCUUGAGGAAAUACUAGUGACAGAUAUAUGUGCUGCUUUAUGUGGGAGUUAUUACCAUUCUAAGGGAGCCCAUGUGUUCACAGUUCGGGUCCCUCCCUCAGGAGGUGACUUAAGCAGCAUGUACUGGAAUGAAAAUAAAUUUUUCUUGUUGGACAUACUAACCAGGGAGUAUUGCAGGAUCUGAACAAUCCUUCCAUCUUAAUAUGGAAAAGUAAUUAUUUCACUUUUUUUCUUUUUUGAAUUAGUAAUGUUUACAGGUCAAGUCUUCUUUCCCUCCUCUGGAAAGAAAGCUACCAACAACAUUUAGUUAAUUUGGAUUUGGAGUCUAAUGGGUCUUUGAUGUCUACUGUAGAAGAAUAAAAAUGAACUGGGUUUGUUGAGUAGAUCAAGAAGGAAAAAAAACUAAAGAAGAGAGAAACAGAAUUUCCUAACUUGAAGAAGACAUGUGAAGAUUGGAAGUGAGGGAGCCGAGAGAACAGACCUAGCAAAAGACUGGUCAGCUGGCUGCACUUCAAAGAUGGGCGAGUCUCCUAAGAAAAAUGGCUACUUUCGGUAAAACCUGGCCAGAAGAAGCCAUGGAAAAGACUCUCUUGUUCAAUAAUUGCAGAGAACUAGUAACAACAUGCUGGACCUAAAUGAAUCCUUUUCAUGGGGAAAAUGAGUAUCACAGUGGUAAUUUUUAUGGGCAACUGACAACUUGCCAUAACCAUUUCCUCCACCAUUUCAUUUUAAGAAAGAUCCCCAAUCCUGUGGUGCAACUGUAAGGGAAGCCCAAGAAUCCCUGAAGUGAAAUUUUCAGUCAGUGUCCAGGAUUGUGCAGCUAGACUUUGCUUUAUUAAUACAUAAAGAAAUGGAAUAUUUCUUCUUGACUUCGUGUAUUGAUACUUCUUCACCUACUCUCUCACUCUUCACACUUUUUUAUGUUCUACAUUUUCUAGUAGGUGCAUGUAUCAUUUUGGGAGAUCAAAAACAGUUCUAUGAGCAAAAUCCAAUUGUACAAAUUACACGUGAUACCCUUAUCUCUUUGUUUUCAAUGAACACAAGCUAUUCGUGACUGGAAUUUUAGAAUGACAACAUGUAGGUAAAAUUGACGUUACCAACGCCAAUAUAUAUUUUCUCAGUGAUUCAUGGCAGUAUGUAGAACUCACUGGAAAUAAAACUAUAGCUAAUUAAUCCUAUUUUGAAAUAUAGAAAGUUUGAAGCAAUGAACACAUAGUAUUUCUCAUACACACUGUCUUUCUUAAUUGUAUGCUCCUCUAUAGCUUUGACAUGGGUAUUACUUUCCUCGACAUUAGUGUUAUUGUAUUAUUCAGCUUAAGGGAUUAAUAAGCACUACAUUUUUGAGAGGUUAACAUUUGGCAAACAAUAGAAAUAAGAGAUUUCAAAUGAAAAUGAAAACAGAAAGAAAUACACAAUAACAUAUUUACUCAGAGAAAAAAAAUGCUUUGAUGGCAAACAUUUCAGUUUUUCACUUUAUGAUUUACAUAUGAUCUUUAGAAAGCAAUCGGCCAGACGCGGUGGCUCAUGCCUGUAAUCCCUGCAAUUUGGGAGGCCAAGGUGGGUGGAUCACUUGAGGUCAGGAGUUCGAGACUAGGCUGGCCAACAUGGUGAAACCCCAUCUCUACUAAAAAUACAAAAAAUUAGCUGAGCAUGUUGGUGGGCACCUGUAGUCCCAGCUACUCAGGAGACUGUGGCAGGAGAAUCACUUGAACCCAGGAGGCGGAGGUUGCAGUGAGCCGAAGUCACACCACUGCACUCCAGCCUGGGCAACAGAGUGAGACUCUGUCAAAAAGAAAGGAAAGAAAGAAAGAAAGAGAGAAAGAGAGAGAGAGAGAAAGAAGGAAGGAGGGAAGGAAGGAAGGAAGGAAGGAAGGAAGGAAGGAAGGAAGGAAGGAAGGAAGGAAGGAAAGAGAAAGAAAGAAAGAAAGAAAAAAAGAAAGAAAGAGCAGGCAAGCAGGGAGGGAGGAAGGGAGGAGGGAGGGAGGGUGGAAGGAAGGAAGGAAGGAAAUCAGGGAGGGAGGAAGGGAGGAGGCAGGAAGGAUGGGAGGAAGGAAGGAAGAAAGGGAGAGAGGGAGGGAGGGAAGGAGAAAAGGAAAGAAUUCAGCUUCCUCUUUUUUCUUUCCCAGUGAGGGCACAUGACAUCUGCCUUGCUUUGGCCCAAAAACAAGACAAAGAAUCUGUGACCAUUUUCCAUUAUUUUUACACCUACAUUAUAACAAAUAUAUUUGAAAUAAUUCUUAUCCCUGAAUUGCUUUACCUCUUAUACCCCAACUUUAAUCAGAGAUUAAUUAAAAUAGGCUCCAUUAAGAAAUAUAAUUCAUAUGCUUCUCAGUGUACAUACAUUGGGAUUAUCAAUGAAAUAUUGAACUUCUUGUUACAUAAGUACACAGAGAUAUGUUUAUUUGUGUACAGAUAUGUAUAAUUAUGUGUGUAGAGUAUGUGCAUGUAAAAAAUACCAAAUGAUCAGUAUUUCUUAUUUCUAUAUCUAGAUUAUUAAAACUUACCUGUAUUAUCAUCCUUCUCAUAUAAAUAUGUAGAAUAAAGUAUUCAUCUACAUUUAUUAGACAUUCUUAAUAGAAACUACAUGUGUGUGUAUAUAUGUAUAUGAACCAUAUUUGUCUGUUAUCUUCAUUUAGUGUAUGCACUUGUAUUAGAGACAGCUAUUUUAAAAUUUUUUAGAUGUUUUUAUUUAAGUCUAGAAUAUGUAGAUAAAAGGAUACAGAUUAUAAUUUUACAAAUCAAUACAUUUUUUACAGUGGAAAAACACUUAUAUAACCAGCAUCCAGAUCAAGCACUAGAGCACAACCAGCAUUUCAAAAGCACCCGACGACGUUCUGCCUUUCCUUUUACUACCUCAUUUCCCCAAUAGCAACUACAAUCCUAACUCCUAACACCCAUGUUUUGCCUCAUAUUGAAACUUAUAUCAGUGGAGUCAUUUAUCAAAUAUUCCUUUUUAAAUUUUUUAAAUAAGUUCAAUUUUUAUUUUGGAUUCAGGCGCUACAUGCAGAGGUUUGUUACAUGGGUAUAUUGAGUGUUGCAUGGAUAUAUUGAGUGUCACAUGGGUAUAUUGAGGGUUGCUGAGGUUUGGGAUGUGAAUAAUCUCAUCACCUAGGUAGUGAGCAUAGUCCCCAACAGUUAGUUUUUCAACACUUUUCCCCCUGCCUGCCUCCACAGUCUUGUAGUCCUCAGUGUCUAUUGUUGCUAUCUUUAUGUUCAUGAGUACCCGAUAUUUAGCUUCCAUUUAUAAGUGAGAACACAUAGUAUUUGGUUUUCUGUUCCUGCAUUAAUUUUCUUAGGACAAUAACCUCCAGCUACUACUAAGUUACUGCAAAGAACAUGAUUUCAUCCUUUUUAAAUGACUGUGUAGUAUUCAUAGGUGUAUGUGGAACACAUUUUCUUUAUCCAAUCCACCAUUAAUGGACACCUGAGAUGAUUCUGUGUCUUUGCUAUUAUCAAUACUGCUGCAGUGAAAAUAUGAGUAUAUGUUUGUUUGUUUUUGGUAGAACAAUUUAUUUUUGUUUGGGUAGAUACCCAUUAAUGUGCUUGCUGGGUUGAAAGGUAGUUCCAUGUUAACUUUUUUGAGAAAUCUCCAAAGUGUGGUUGAAAUAAUUUAUAUUACCACUAACAGUAUAUAAGACUUUUCAGGCCGGGCGCAGUGGCUCACGCCUGUAAUCCCAGCACUUUGGGAGGCCGAGGCGGGUGGAUC
rnacentral:lncRNA from 1 species